rnacentral:rRNA from 1 species
GAUCAUGGCUCAGGAUGAACGCUGGCGGCGUGCCUAACACAUGCAAGUCGAACGGAGACGCCUUUGCGGAGGCUCGGCCAAAGCGGGGGCGUGCUUAGUGGCGGACGGGUGAGUAACGCGUGGAGAACCUGGCCCAUGCAGGGGGACAACGGAGGGAAACUUCCGCUAAUACCGCAUAUGCGCACGGAUGGGCAUCCAUCAGUGUGGAAAGCAAUUACGGCAUGGGAUGGCUCCGCGUCCGAUCAGCUAGUUGGCGGGGCAACGGCCCACCAAGGCGACGACCGGUAGCCGGCCUGAGAGGGCGGACGGCCACAUUGGGACUGAGACACGGCCCAGACUCCUGCGGGAGGCAGCAGUGGGGGAUAUUGCACAAUGGGGGGAACCCUGAUGCAGCGACGCCGCGUGGGCGAGGGAGCGCUUCGGCGCGUAAAGCCCUUUCGGCAGGGAAGAGGAAGGACGGUACCUGAAGAAGAAGCCCCGGCUAACUACGUGCCAGCCGCUGC